ACUGAACGCUGGCGGCGUGCUUAACACAUGCAAGUCGAUCGGUAACAGGUGUAGCAAUACAUGCUGACGAGAGGCGGACGGGUGAGUAAUGCUUGGGAAUCUGCCUAUUAGUGGGGGACAACCCGGGAAACGUCGGCGUAAUACCGCAUACGCUCUACGGAGGAAAGCCGGGGACCGCAAGGCCUGGCGCUAAUAGAUGAGCCC
rnacentral:rRNA from 1 species